rnacentral:rRNA from 1 species
UACGUAGGGGGCAAGCGUUGUCCGGAAUCAUUGGGCGUAAAGAGCGUGUAGGCGGCCAGAUAAGUCCGCUGUGAAAUCUCGAGGCUCAACUUCGAGCUGUCGGUGGAAACUGUCUGGCUAGAGUCCGGAAGAGGAGAAUGGAAUUCCUGGUGUAGCGGUGAAAUGCGCAGAUAUCAGGAAGAACACCAGUGGCGAAGGCGGCACCCUGGACCAGCACUGACACUGAGGCACGAAAGCGUGGGGAGCAAACAGG